rnacentral:siRNA from 1 species
CAACCCACGGUGCCACUCCUA